rnacentral:rRNA from 1 species
UACGUAGGGGGCUAGCGUUGUCCGGAAGCAUUGGGCGUAAAGCGCGCGUAGGCGGCCAGAUAAGUCCGGUGUGAAAGUCAAAGGCUCAACCUUUGAAUGCCGCUGGAAACUGUCUGGCUUGAGUCCGGAAGGGGCGAGUGGAAUUCCUGGUGUAGCGGUGAAAUGCGCAGAUAUCAGGAAGAACCCGCGUGGCGAAGGCGGUUCUCUGGGACGGUACUGACGCUGAGACGCGAAAGCGUGGGGAGCGAACAGG